rnacentral:rRNA from 1 species
AAACAUCUUUUCUUGAUUUAUAUUUGAGAUUUGACCUGCCCAAUGAUUUAAUUUAAUGGCCGCGGUAUUUUGACCGUGCAAAGGUAGCAUAAUCAUUAGUCUAUUAAUUAUAGACUUGUAUGAAUGGUUGGACGAAAUAUUUACUGUCUCAAUUUUUAAUUAUUUAAAAUUUAAAUUUUUUGUUAAAAUGCUUAAAUUUUUUUAUUGGACGAGAAGACCCUAUAGAUCUUUAUUUUUUGAUAAUUAAUUAUUUUUUAGUUUAUAUUUUUAUAAAUUUUUAAAAAUUUUUGUUGGGGUGACAUGGAGAUAUAAAUAACUCUUUAUUUUUAAAAUCAAUUAUUUUUGUUUUUAUGACCUUUUAUUAUUGUUAUAAGAUAUAGAUACCUUAGGGAUAACAGCGUUAUUUUUUUUGAGAGUUCUUAUCGACAAUAAAGAUUGCGACCUCGAUGUUGGAUUAAGAUUAUUCCUAAUUAAUGGUGAAGUAGCUUAGGUAAUAGGUCUGUUCGACCUUUAAAUUCUUACAUGAUCUGA